rnacentral:rRNA from 1 species
UACAGAGGUGGCAAGCGUUGUUCGGAAUUACUGGGCGUAAAGGGCGCGUAGGCGGUUCGUUAAGUCCUGUGUGAAAUCCCCCGGCUCAACUGGGGAACUGCACAGGAAACUAGCGGGCUUGAGUUCGGGAGAGGGAAGCGGGAUUCCGGGUGUAGCGGUGAAAUGCGUAGAUAUCUGGAGGAACACCGGUGGCGAAGGCGGCAUCCUGGACCGGUAUUGACGCUGAGGCGCGAAAGCCAGGGGAGCAAACGGG